rnacentral:pre_miRNA from 1 species
AAUAGGAGAAUGACAAAUAAGAUUUUUCCUCAUAAUUUUCAACUUUUUUGUCCUAAAAAAAUUUAAUUCCAAUUAAAAAUGUUAAAAAUCAGGAAGAAAAAUUUGAUUUAUCAUCCUCCUAUU